GCCAGGUGCGGUGGCCCCUGCCUGUAAUCCUAGUGGCAGGGGAGGCUGAGGCAGGAAGGUUGCGAGUUCAAAGCCAGUCUCAGCAAUGGCGGAGGCAUUGAGAAACUCGGUGAGACCCUGUCUCUC
rnacentral:sRNA from 1 species